rnacentral:rRNA from 1 species
AUUGAACGCUGGCGGAAUGCUUUACACAUGCAAGUCGAGCGGCAGCACGGGGGCAACCCUGGUGGCGAGCGGCGAACGGGUGAGUAAUACAUCGGAACAUGCCCAGUCGUGGGGGAUAACACUUCGAAAGAAGUGCUAAUACCGUAUACGUCCUGAGGGAGAAAGCGGGGGAUCGCAAGACCUCGCGCGAUUGGAGUGGCCGAUGUCAGAUUAGCUAGUUGGUGGGGUAAAGGCCUACCAAGGCAACGAUCUGUAGCUGGUCUGAGAGGAUGAUCAGCCACACUGGGACUGAGACACGGCCCAGACUCCUACGGGAGGCAGCAGUGGGGAAUUUUGGACAAUGGGGGCAACCCUGAUCCAGCCAUUCCGCGUGAGUGAAGAAGGCCUUCGGGUUGUAAAGCUCUUUCGGCAGGAACGAAACGGCGAGCUCUAACAUAGCUUGCUAAUGACGGUACCUGAAGAAGAAGCACCGGCUAACUACGUG